rnacentral:rRNA from 1 species
UACGGAGGGGGCAAGCGUUGUUCGGAAUUACUGGGCGUAAAGGGCGCGCAGGCGGCUGCUCAAGUCAGGCGUGAAAGGCCUGGGCUCAACCCGGGAAUUGCGCUUGAGACUGGGCUGGCUUGAGUGCGGGAGAGGAUGGUGGAAUUCCCAGUGUAGAGGUGAAAUGCGUAGAUAUCGGGAGGAACACCAGUGGCGAAGGCGACUACCUGGCCUGUUCUUGACGCUGAGGCGCGAAAGCUAGGGGAGCAAACGGG